UGACCAAAGGGGCUGCCAAAGAUGAUACCCAAUCUCCUCACAAAACCUUUAAAUAACUUGACUGUUACUAUCAGCACAUAACAUGUAACAUGUCCUGUCAAAAGUAUAGUUUCAGUAAUAAUGGACGUGUUAAAAUUGACACCAAUAUUUUCUCAUUACUUAUACUAAAUUGAAAGGCUUUUAAGCAGCUGUACUCUACAUCUCUCUUUUAUCACACAAGGAAACGCUUGUCCGACCCAUUCAAUUCUUUAGACUUUGUCUCUCCUGUUAACAGUGAGGAAAUGAAGGCAUGCAAAAGGUGUUUUUUCUGUUUUUCCUCCUUAUCUUUCCACUUUGGAUCAAUAAUGCAAUCGCACAUGGUUUGGAAAGGUGAAUAGAUAUGCUUGUUUGUUGCCCCAAACCUCGAAGCAAUCUUAAAUCUUGAAAUAAAACAGCUCUUGUGUUCUCCUCCUCUGUGCAUGCCUUGGGAACUUGUGCAGAGGCAUACUCCAGGGUCACUCACUGAUCAGACACUUCAUUCAUAUUCAAAUUACCCGCCUGAAUCUAUUCCACUUUCUCUUUUCUUUCUGUGAUCAAUGGUUCGUUUUGUAAAAUCUCACUGGGCUUAUCAGGAAAUAAGUGCUGUGGAAAGCCGUGGUGAAAAAAUUUCUAGGUUGUAGGCUGACAGUGACCAUGAGAGUGUGCAGGUGGGAGUAAACAAAAGACCACAAUGAAUAAUUACUCCUUCAUUUUUAAUUGCUUUAAUCCAAAUGCCUAAACAGAUUAAAUCUGAGUGACAUAAAUAUUUGAUUUUACACUUUGCCUAAUAUGCUAAUGAUAGAUUUUCCUUGCUCUACAAGCGGUAAUUUGAGUCAGCAAACAUGAAACGAGCGAACAUGCUCCUCAAAUCUACACUGAAGUGAUGUUCCAUUUCAAACCAGCCAUUGGAUUUUAAGAGGAUGCAAUAAGCCUCUGUUUCGUUAGAUAUUUUCUUCUCACUGGGAAAAUAGCUGUUAUGGGUUAGAGAUGGCUGCAGAGUGAUUGAGACAAUUGUGCUGAUAUCCCUGAUCACAUUUGCCGUACCAUCUGUGUGAGGAAAUUGGUUGAGGGGCUUUUAAAGGCAGGAUGAAUGGCAAGCAGAACUCCAGUUUUGUGUUGCCUUCGACUAAACUGCAUCCCUAAUGAUGACAGAGAUGGAGGGGGAUGAAAAUACAACAGAGCUUCCAGAGCAAGCUGUUGGUGCAUUUGAUGUUUAACAGAACAGUUUAUGUCUUUUUUAUUCUUCUUUUCUGCUAAUUCCUUUAGUUUAAACUAUUAUUGUCAAUAGAACUUUUAAUGGUCAAAGUCACAAUGAUGUAUUGGCAGAAACUGGAGAGACAGAAAACACCACCACAGGGUUAAAGGCAACAUAGGAUUCUUAAAAUGUUGUCUUGUGUUCUUGGUGCCAGAGUGGGAGGAGUAACAGUAAUGUCCCUAAACUGAAAUUCUGCUGUUUAUAAUUGUCAGCCAAUGAAAAACAAGUUUAGUUUAAUGCAAUAUGACAAAGGACUGAACAGAUUAGAUGAUUAAAAAAUGUUCAUAUGUGCCGAGCAAACUUCAGCACAUUUUUUUACAGUUGUAUGGAUGGAUGACAUUGUGUAUUUUAAGUAUUGUCAUUAGCCUCUAAUCAGAAAAUUAGAAAGGUAUUCCAGGGUCAUUCCACCUUUGGCAAUCCUGUCAAAUCAUCCAUCUACAAAGCAUUGAGGUUAGUCCGUCUGCUGCGGUUAUCAGAGGUAACUUAUCCAUGUAAAAGUCAGAAAGUAAUCUCACAAACUCAGAGGCUUUUGUUAUCUUCUGCUGUUGUUAAAUCAUGCCCAAAACAUCUUAUUGGUCAAUACUGAUUGACACAUCAAAACGAUUGUCUUAACUCCAGCUAAGCCCCACCCACCAAAAAUCAUCACUGUUCACCAACACAAAAAGGAUCUGUACCAUGUGGCAUCCUCUGGAAAAUAAGUCCAUAUGGGAGUGCUAAAAACUGCAGUUCCCGAAAUGACCACUUGAGGCAGAAGCACCAGAAACAAGAUUGUCAAAUCAGAGUAUGGCUAACCUGACUAUGAAGCAAGCAUACUGUGGCUAUUUGUGAGGAAGCUUAAGGUCUACCUCUGGUAGAUUAACCAAAUGCUAGGUUGAGUCGGCAUUUCCAGUCCCACACAGAGGGGCAGCAGUUAUACCAGCGCUUGCCUUUUUGGGGUUCAUUUCCGUUAACCUUUUUAUUUUGUUUUUUAUUCCUGAAAGCAAGUAUUAGUAUCUACCCACGCUCAGUCAAGGAGCAGCAAGUAUUUUUGUCAUGUUUUUUGACUGCUGAUGGAUAUUUUUGCUGGGAGAAGAGUUUAUUCUAGAGGAAAAGAGCAAAUCUGGAUGACAACAUGCAAUUGGAGCAGAUAUCAGGAGGUGGUUACUGUGUUGGUGCAAAGGUGAAGGCAAAGUUAAAGGGUUGUUUGUUUGCUAUGUUGAUCCUUUGCUGCUGUCAACACUGUAAAUUCCCCCACCAUGGGAUGAAUAAAGACUUAUCCACCAAUAUGACAACCAUUGAAAAAAGGCUUCAAGACUCCCCUUUAGAGACAAAUGGUUGACAUCACCAAGGCUGAGUCCAGUUAUUAUACUGUCUAUGGUGUGUACAAGGUGAUGUUCCUUUGGAGAAUUUUUUUCUUCUAUUGAAAUCCAUAGCUUGUGAUGGCUGAAUUAGAGCUCACUCCUGUAGAUCUGUUCACAUGAAAAAAACACUACUAACAUUUCAAAGCCAACUAUCA
rnacentral:lncRNA from 1 species